AUCUUGGGAAAUUUCAUCGUGAUGGGGAUAGAUCAUUGCAAUUGUUGGUCUUCAACGAGGAAUGCCUAGUAAGCGCGAGUCAUCAGCUCGCGUUGACUACGUCCCUGCCCUUUGUACACACCGCCCGUCGCUCCUACCGAUUGAAUGGUCCGGUGAAGUGUUCGGAUCGCGGCGACGGGGGCGGUUCGCCGCCCCCGACGUCGCGAGAAGUCCAUUGAACCUUAUCAUUUAGAGGAAGGAGAAGUNGUAACAAGGUUUCCGUAGGUGAACCUGCGGAAGGAUCAUUG
rnacentral:rRNA from 1 species